rnacentral:rRNA from 1 species
GGCCUGGCCCGUAAGCUGGCCCCCUUUAAAAGCCAUUCCUUAUUAAUAAGGAUUUGUUACGCGUGAUAUGCCCACGACUUACUACUGGGAAUCGUGGGCGCUUUAUUUCUUCUCAUAGAAAUACAAAAACAUAUCACCCACUUCCUACAAUCCGGUCUGAACCUUUGGGAUGCGGCUAUAUGAUCAACAACCAUAGCUGCACGGAGUACGGUAGAAUUGCCCGGUACGGUCAUUCGGGAAGUCCCCCCGAGGACGACUCCCAUACAAUUCUUGCGAGAGCUGGAGAAGCUUCUACGGGUAAAGCACCGUAUCCAUAUAAUUGCCUGCCACCUACGCUCCGCCAUCCAUUCCAAGUUUAGGGACCUAGGUUAUAGUAUCCCUAUCAAAGAGCCGACGAAGGGGAUGAGCGGAAGAGGUCGUCUACUGGACGCGGUUCAACUAGCGGAGACUCUUGGAAAAGAUGGACUAAAAAGUCCCCAAGUUAACGUAUUAUGGGGGACCGUCAAGCACAUCCGGCAAAGAUCGAGGGCGAUCUCGUUGUUGCAUAGCUCAGGUCAGAGCAAGGUGCCAUCAGGCGUUCAACAGGCAGUCUCACGAUCGGGCAUGAGUGUCCUGAAGAAGAAAUUGUAUACUCCCUUUGGUCGGAAGGCGGCGUGGGAAGGAAGGGGACACUGGGCAGGAUCUUUCAGCAGCGAAUUCCCCAUACAUAUAGAGGCGCAUUUCAAAACGAUACUCCGAAGGUUUCGGGAUCGAGGUCUCAUUAGCUGAAGAAGACCCAGGCCAGUCCACGUGGCCUCUUUGACCAACGUCAGUGAUAGAGACAUAGUAAAUUGGUCCCCGGGCAUCGCGAUAAGUCCUCUAUCCUACUACAGGUGCUGCGACAACCUUUACCAAGUCCGAACGAUUGUCAACUACCAGAUCCAUUGGUCCGCUAUAUUCACCCUAGUCCACAAGCACAAAUCUUUGGAGCGGAAUAUAAUCCUAAAGUACCCCAAAGACUCAAAUAUAGUCAAUCAAGAAGGUGGUAAGACCCUUGCUGAGUUCGCAAACAGCAUAGAGCUUGGGAAGCUCGGACUCGUUCAAGAUCCGAACAACGACGGAGCACUCAACUACAUGUUUAAUAAGUAG